rnacentral:lncRNA from 10 species
ACCACCACCUCUGCCUCCAGGGUUCAAGCGAUUCUCAUGGCUCAGCCUCCCAAGUAGCUGGGAUCAUAGGCACGUGCCAUCACGUCCUGCUAAUUUUGUUUUUGUAUUUUCAUUCACCUUUAUUUAAUCUUUACAGCAACUCCACAAAAUAAUGAUUCCUAUCUGUACUUUACAAGAGGAAAUGAAGCUUCAAAAAGGGCAUUAACUUGCAGGAAUGGGCAGUUUGUCAAAAUGUAUUGGAUUCUGUAUGUGACUGACAAGCAGAACCAUAAUUUUAUAUGCUUCUGACUGUACCAUGAUGUAUCCCAAAAAUGUGAUACAGCUGUCUUAGAUAACGUUGAUUUUAAUGAUCUUUGAGAGGGUGAACACAGUUCCAUUGCCAACAGGUCCCAUCUCAAAAACACUUAAGUUUCUUGGUAAGAACAGUGAAAAUUCACAAAAAGGAGGCUGUUAAAGGUAUACACUAGAAGUCAUUUUUCAAGGUAACUUUUGAUCCCAUAUAUCAGAUGUUCUAAGACUGUUAGAACACCUCGUCCAAAGGAAUCUGCGUAUAAUAAACAGGGUUGAGCAAUAUAAUCAAUCACAUAUUUAAGAAACUGAAAACAAUUUUUUACAUUAAAUUGAGUACACAUACACAUAUAUAUACUCAACAACCACUUCCAGAAUACCCUAAGAUAUUUUUUUCUCCUUGGAUUUUUUUUCUUUUGAGAUAGUCUCGCUCUGUCGCCCAGGCUGCAGUGAAGUGGCACGAUCUUGGCUCACUGUAACCUCUGCCUUCCAGGUUCAAGUGAUUCUCCUGCCUCAGUCUUCCAAACCAUGCUUGGCUAAUUUUUUUUAUUUUUAUUUUUUUAGUAGAGAUAGGGUUUCACCAUGUUGGCCAGGUUGGUCUUGAACUCCUCACCUCAAGUGAUCCACUCCCUUCAGCCUCCCAAAGUGUUGGGAUUACAAGUGUGAGCCAUUGUACCUGGCCUUUUUUUCUCUUUUGAUAAAUGUGUCCCUGAGAAUUAGAAAAACAGCAUAUACUCAAAGUAUAGAAAACAGGAUACACUUCAAAUACUCCUUUUUUGAUAAACUCAAAAGCAUUAUUUUUCCUUAGUCAUCUCUUCUCUGGAGGUGAGCUGCUGAGUCAAUAUGAUUUUGUAAGAUUAAAAAUAUAUAUAUAUACACACACAGAGAACAGAGUAGAAAAAUAAUUUUUC